CAUUGCUGGAACGCGCUUCGGCGCACCCAGAAACCCUUUGUGAACUUAUACCUAUCUGUUGCCUCGGCGCAGGCCGGCCUCUUUGCUGAGGCCCCCUGGAGACAGGGAGCAGCCCGCCGGUGGCCAACUAAACUCUUGUUUCUACAGUGAAUCUCUGAGUAAAAAAACAUAAAUGAAUCAAAACUUUCAACAACGGAUCUCUUGGUUCUGGCAUCGAUGAAGAACGCAGCGAAAUGCGAUAAGUAAUGUGAAUUGCAGAAUUCAGUGAAUCAUCGAAUCUUUGAACGCACAUUGCGCCCUCUGGUAUUCCGGAGGGCAUGCCUGUUCGAGCGUCAUUUCAACCCUCAAGCCUGGCUUGGUGAUGGGGCACUGCCUGUGAAAGGGCAGGCCCUGAAAUCUAGUGGCGAGCUCGCUAGGACCCCGAGCGUAGUAGUUAUAUCUCGCUUUGGAAGGCCCUGGCGGUGCCCUGCCGUUAAACCCCCAACUUCUGAAAAUUUGACCUCGGAUCAGGUAGGAAUACCCGCUGAACUUAAGCAUAUCAA
rnacentral:misc_RNA from 1 species